UACAGAGGUCCCAAGCGUUACUGAGAAUCACUGGGUUUAAAGGGUGCGUAGGUGGUCCGUUAAGUCAGUUGUGAAAUCCCCGGGCUCAACCCGGGAACUGCUUCUGAUACUGGCGGACUUGAGGCCAGUAGGGGGUCACUAGAACUGACGGUGGAGCGGUGAAAUGCGUAGAUAUCGUCAGGAAUGCCGGUGGUGAAGACGGGUGACUGGGCUGGUUCUGACACUGAGGCACGAAAGCGUGGGGGAGCGAACGGG
rnacentral:rRNA from 1 species